GGGGGCGACAGGCUUCGACGGGGGUUAUGAAGUCGGGGUUGCAUGCCGUGUGCCAUCACGUUAAAAGGCAAACAAACACAAACGCCAACACUGAAUUGGCUCUUGCCGCUUAAAUAAGCGGUGACGUUUCUCCGGUAAGUGCCUGCGGGCCGGAAGAGACGCCGAUAGCGGGCUGGCCUGAGGUGUUUUUCUCUUGUGCUUUGGGCGAGACAAAAAGAGAUAGGUGACAGAGCAGCCUUCCUGCCGGCGAUUCUGAAACUGAAGAUCCAAAUGGCAGGAUAAGCAUGUAGAUGCUGCGAUGUAGUGCUUUCGGACCCGGGUUCGAUUCCCGGCGCCUCCACCA
rnacentral:tmRNA from 1 species